GGAAUAUAAGAACUCGUCUCUUAACUUUUAAUUAAAAAAACUAAUAACCAGUUCUUAAAUAUCUUAUUUAAAAACUGGUUCUUAGCUUUUUUAGUUAAAAGUUAAGAAACAUAUUCUUAUAUUCC
rfam:Brassica napus, WGS project CCCW01000000 data, contig: 38910